GCUGGCAGCUAGCUCUCUGCAACUCUCACAUGAUCGCCUGCUGAAGCUAAGCAGGUCUGCGCCUAGUCAGUACCUGGAUAGGAGACCACAUGGGAAAGCUAGGUUGCAGCUGGAA
rfam:Danio rerio chromosome 13 genomic contig CTG1270, GRCz11 reference primary assembly.